GACAGAGGGUGCAAACGUUGUUCGGAUUUACUGGGCGUAAAGCGCGUGUAGGCGGCCUUGCAAGUCGGAUGUGAAAGCCCACGGCUCAACCGUGGAAGUGCAUCCGAAACUGCAUAGCUUGAGUCUCGGAGAGGAAGGUGGAAUGCUUGGUGUAGAGGUGAAAUUCGUAGAUAUCAGGAGGAACACCGAUGGCGAAGGCAGGUCUCUGGGCUGACACUGACGCUCAUGCACGAAAGCAUGGGGAGCGAACAGG
rnacentral:rRNA from 1 species